GGAUAACUGUGGUAAUUCUAGAGCUAAUACAUGCAUUAAAGCUCUGACCUCACGGGAAGAGUGCAUUUAUUAGAACAAAACCAAGCGGCUUCGGCUGUUUCUGGUUGACUCAUAGUAACUGAGCUGAUCGCAUGGUCUUGCACCGGCGACGUGUCUUUCAAGUAUCUGCCGUAUCAACUUUCGAUGGUAGUGUAUCUGACUACCAUGGUGAUCACGCGUAACGGAGAAUAAGGGUUCGGCUCCGGAGAGUUCGCCUGAGAAAUCGCGAACACAUCUAAGGAAGGCAGCAGGCGCGAAAAUUACCCACUCUCAGCACGAGGAGGUAGUGACGAAAAAUAACGAGACCGUUCUCUUAUGAGGCCGGUCAUCGGAAUGGGUACAAUUUAAACCCUUUAACGAGUAUCUAUGAGAGGGCAAGUCUGGUGCCAGCAGCCGCGGUAAUUCCAGCUCUCAAAGUGCAUAGAAUUAUUGCUGCGGUUAAAAAGCUCGUAGUUGGAUCUGUGCCAUAGGACGUGGUCCACCUUCGGGUGCGCACUACGCUCCUAGGCUUUUUGCUGGUUUUCCCGUCGUAGCCUUCACUGGUUGCGGCGGGUGGCUGGCGAGUUUACUUUGAGAAAAUCAGAGUGCUCAAUACAGGCGUAUCGCUUGAAUGAUUGUGCAUGGAAUAAUAGAAAAGGAUUUCGGUCCUCUUUUAUUGGUUUUGUGGACUGAGAUAAUGGUUAACAGGGACAAACGGGGGCAUUCGUAUCUCUGCG
rnacentral:rRNA from 1 species